CUGGCUCAGGAUGAACGCUAGCUACAGGCUUAACACAUGCAAGUCGAGGGGCAGCAUGUUGGUUGCUUGCAACCAAUGAUGGCGACCGGCGCACGGGUGAGUAACGCGUAUCCAACCUUCCCCUUAGUAGGGCAUAGCCCGUAGAAAUGCGGAUUAAUACCCUAUGUUGUAUAUUGAGGACAUCUGAUUUAUACCAAAGGUUCACCGCUAAGGGAUGGGGAUGCGUCUGAUUAGGUUGUUGGCGGGGUAACGGCCCACCAAGCCGACGAUCAGUAGGGGUUCUGAGAGGAAGGUCCCCCACAUUGGAACUGAGACGCGGUCCAAACUCCUACGGGAGGCAGCAGUGAGGAAUAUUGGUCAAUGGACGAGAGUCUGAACCAGCCAAGUAAGCGUGCAGGAUGACGGCCCUAUGGGUUGUAAACUGCUUUUAUACGGGGAUAAAGUGAGGGACGUGUCCCUUUUUGUAGGUACCGUAUGAAUAAGGACCGGCUAAUUCCGUGCCAGCAGCAGC
rnacentral:rRNA from 1 species